rnacentral:miRNA from 1 species
AGGAAGGGGCGUUUGGAAUGUU